UCCCACGGGCAAAAUCUUCCAUCGCCCGGGGCUGAGACUUGUCAAACUGCCCUCUACGGUCACCCGGAAAUGGCUGUGAUUCAGCGUCCCUCUUAGCAGCAGGCACUGACAGAGGCAGGAGAGGAAAAAAGAAAGAAAGAAAGAGAAAACACAGCAAAUGAAUCAAACGGACGUAGCAGGCAAGAGUGUGGUUAUCGUUGGACCAGGAUUCAGGAUCUGACCGAGUAGCUGACUCUUAAUCCAGUUUGUGUUGAUCACCAGGAGGAUCUGGACCUCAGUGUUAUCACAUCUAAAGGUCAAGGAAGCUUUUCCUGAUCCACUAAGGACAAUCAAACCCUUCAUGAUCUAGAAUCUGGAGACUGUGUCUUCUGGGAAUAGUAUCAGAGAAAGACUGCCCUUACUGCCCACAUGUAGCAAAACUUUGAGACGUUGAAUUAUGGGUCCAUAAUCUCACAACUCAGAGGGGCACCUCUAGACUCUUGGAACUGCAUAUCUAUUGGAGACUUUAAGGUAAAGCUGAACAGAGACGUUUUUCUCCAGAAGCAGACAGCACCAUAGUCAUGGACAGCUUUCCCAAGAUCACAGAUCAAGACUUCUGUGCCGUCAUGAGACUCAUACCUCUUAAUUUUUUCUUGCUUAUGCUUCUGUGAACAAUAGAAUUGGAAAAGGGGUGGUCCCGCGUGCACCCAUAGGGUAUACUUUUAUUUGUGGAGGAUUUUGCUGCCAACCUUAUACAUGGGCAAACUUAUGCCUUCAUGGAUGGAAGAUAAAGGGCUAAUAUGGGUUAGAAAUUUUAAUGGUACCUUUGUUUCUCCAUAAUCAUUCAGAAACAGAACACUGGUCCACUCUUGUUAACCUACAUCAUAGGUUGAAGAGAACAUUGCCAGGAGGUCUUCAUCCUUCCAGAUGGGCACCAUUUGUUGGGUCUUUUUCCAUGGUAUGAAGAAAAUGAAGCAAUGAUUAGAAAUUGGUCCCUCGGCCGGGCACAAUGGCUCAUGCCUGUAAUCCCAUCACUUUGGCAGGCCGACGCGGGUGGAUCACCUGAGGUCAGGAGUUUGAGACCAGCCUGACCAAUGUGGUGAAACCCCAUCUCUACUAAAAAUACAAAAAUUAGCUGGGUGUGAUGGUGCACACCUGUAAUCCAGCUACUCGGGAGGCUGAGACAGGAGAAUUGCUUGAACCUGGGAGGCAGAGGUUGCAGUGAGCCAAGAUCACCCCACUGCAUUCCAGGUUGGGCAACAGAGCAAGACUCUGUCUCAAAAAAAAAAGAAGAAAGAAAGAAAUUGAUCCCUCAUAAUAGGCUGUAUAGCAGAUUCUACUGCAAAGGCUAUGGUUGCACAACAGCCUUCUUUGAAUUUGCUUGCUAAACUUUUACUGGAUAAUAGAAUUGCCUCCAAAAGUGCUGGGAUUACAGGUGUGAGCCACUGUGCCCAGCCUCUCCUGUUUAAUUGUAUUCAUUCUAAUGUUUACUUACUUCUUUAAUUUGUAAAAUUGGGUCACUUAGAGUUUUUUAGCCUAUCUUACCAUUUAGCCACUAUUACUGAUAAUUUGGAUGGAAAAGAAAA
rnacentral:lncRNA from 1 species